rnacentral:rRNA from 1 species
GAUAAACGCUGGCGGUGUACAUAAGACAUGCAAGUCGAACGGGAGAAACUAAGAUGGAUUUAUUCAACUUAGCAGACACCGUGGCGGAUGGGUGAGUAACACGUAAGCAACCUGCCUAAAAGAGGGGAAUAACAGAGAGAAAUUUCUGAUAAUACCGCAUAUACCAAAGUAUCGCAUGGUACGAUUGGGAAAGAUUUAUCACUUUUAGAUGGGCUUGCGUCUGAUUAGCUAGUUGGUGAGAUAACAGCUCACCAAGGCGACGAUCAGUAGCCGGAUUGAGAGGUUGAACGGCCACAUUGGGACUGAGACACGGCCCAGACUCCUACGGGAGGCAGCAGUCGGGAAUAUUGCACAAUGGAGGAAACUCUGAUGCAGUGACACCGCGUAUAGGAAGAAGGCCUUAGGGUUGUAAGCUAUUGUCGUGUGAGAAGAAAAUGACUAUCACAGGAGGAAGCCCUGGCUAAAUAUGUGCCAGCAGCCGCGGUAAUACAUAUGGGGCGAGCGUUAUCCGGAUUUAUUGGGUGUAAAGGGUUCGUAGGCGGGAAAGUAAGUCAGUAUGUGAAAUCCCUCGGCUCAACCGAGGAACUGCAAUUGAAACUAUUUUUCUUGAGUACUGGAGGGGAAAGUGGAAUUCUUAGUGUAGCGGUGAAAUGCGUAGAUAUUAGGAAGAACACCAGUGGCGAAGGCGACUUUCUGGACAGUAACUGACGCUGAGGAACGAAAGUGUGGGGAGCAAACAGGAUUAGAUACCCUGGUAGUCCACACUGUAAACGAUGGAUACUAGGGGUUGGCAUAGGAAAUGUCGGUCCCGCAGUUAACGCAUUAAGUAUCCCACCUGGGGAGUACGACCGCAAGGUUAAAACUCAAAGGAAUUGACGGGGGCCCGCACAAGCAGUGGGGUAUGUGGUUUAAUUCGACGCAACGCGAAGAACCUUACCAGGGCUUGACAUGAUUAGGAAUAUAUAAGAGAUUAUAUAGCUCUACGGAGUCUAAUUACAGGUGGUGCAUGGUUGUCGUCAGCUCGUGUCGUGAGAUGUUGGGUUAAGUCCCUAAACGAGCGCAACCCUUAUCGCUAGUUGCUAACAUUAAGUUGAGGACUCUAGUGAGACUGCCGUUUAUUAAAACGGAGGAAGGAGAGGAUGACGUCAAAUCAUCAUGCCCUUUAUGUCCUGGGCUACACACGUACUACAAUGGGUAGGACAAAGGGAAGCAACGGAGUGAUCCUGAGCAAAACCCAAAACCUAUUCACAGUUCGGAUUGAAGGCUGAAAUUCGCCUUCAUGAAGCCGGAAUUGCUAGUAAUGGCAGGUCAGCAUACUGCCGUGAAUACGUUCCCGGGCCU